AAAAAAAAUUAUAUAAAGUAGAAAAGAAAAAAAAAACAGAUUUUAUUAAAAAAAAAAGACAAAAAUUAAAGUAAUAAAAAUAAAAAUUAUAGUGUUAAAGUGAAUUUAAGAGUGAGUACUUACAUAUAGAGCUAGCCAAAUAAUCCAAGAAAUUGAAGAGUUGAAAGAAGGAAGGGAUGAGGUGAGGUAAAUGAGUGAAAUUGCAGGAAAAAAAUGGCUUCUCAGUGUCGGCAGUGUUGUGAAAGUGGGAAAAUGAGAGAGAUGCAGCUGGUUUAAAAAGAUUUUAGGUUUAGAAAGUGAAAUUACCAUUAUACGCACAAAAUUUUUCAAAUUUUCAAGGGGCCCAGUGCCUCCCUUGGCCCUACACUGGCUCCGUCAGUGAGACUCUAUUGAAGUCUUUUCUUUAUCCCAAUUUUCUGAAUUAUGUUUAGGCUAUUUGAAUUGGCAUAUACAGCUAUACUCUAAGGCACUUGCUUUUUGGUUGCAAUCUUUUUUAAUCAUAACUUCUAGUCACAUUUCUAGAAUGUAUUUUGAAUUG
rnacentral:misc_RNA from 1 species